UCAGACGAUGCGUCAUGCAUAUCAAUAAGCGGAGGAAAAGAAACUAACAAGGAUUCCCCUAGUAACGGCGAGUGAAGCGGGAAGAGCUCAAAUUUGAAAUCUUAAAGGGUUUCCCUUUACGAAUUGUAGUUUAAAGAAGUGUUUUCUGUUGAGGUUUUGGUAAAAGUUCUUUGGAAUAGGACAUCAUAGAGGGUGAGAAUCCCGUAUUUGACCUUUACUUUCAACUUUGUGAUACACUUUCAAAGAGUCGGAUUGUUUGGGAAUGCAGUCCAAAAUGGGUGGUAAAUUUCAUCUAAAGCUAAAUAUUGGCGAGAGACCGAUAGCGGACAAGUACCGUGAGGGAAAGAUGAAAAGAACUUUGAAAAGAGAGUUAAACAGUACGUGAAAUUGUCAAAAGGGAAGCGUUUGACACCAGUGUUGUUUUUCUGAAAAUCAAUUAAAGAACUGUUUAUGCUAAGCUGUUUAGACUUUAUCAGCUAUCUGCUUAGUUUUGAGCUUUUCUUUAAUGCACUUUUCAGUUAACAAGUCAACAUCAAUUUCUUUUGCUGUAAAAAAGCUUGAGGAAGGUGGCUUGAGAUUCGUCUUAAGUGUUUAUAGCCUCUUGCCUAUGCAGUCGGAGAGAUUGAGGUCUGCAGCGUAGAUCCUUCGGGGCUAAAUGCAUUUGUGCUAAGUUAUAGCAUUUUAUAGACAACUUGUUGACUAUGAUUUGUCUUGUAGCUUACUCGCUUAUGUUAUUUUACCUACGCUUAGGAUGUUGAAUCUGUGCGAGACUAC
rnacentral:rRNA from 1 species